UUGUCUCAAAGAUUAAGCCAUGCAUGUCUCAGUACGAGCCGCAUUAAGGUGAAACCGCGAAAGGCUCAUUAAAUCAGUUAUGGUUCCUUAGAUCGUACCCACAUUUACUUGGAUAACUGUGGUAAUUCUAGAGCUAAUACAUGCAAACAGAGCUCCGACCGGAGACGGAAGGAGCGCUUUUAUUAGAUCAAAACCAAUCGGUGUCGGGCUUGCCCGUCACCGUACACCUUGGUGACUCUGAAUAACUUUUUGCUGAUCGCACGGUCUCGCACCGGCGACGCAUCUUUCAAAUGUCUGCCUUAUCAACUGUCGAUGGUAGGUUCUGCGCCUACCAUGGUUGUAACGGGUAACGGGGAAUCAGGGUUCGAUUCCGGAGAGGGAGCCUGAGAAACGGCUACCACAUCCAAGGAAGGCAGCAGGCGCGCAAAUUACCCACUCCCGGCACGGGGAGGUAGUGACGAAAAAUAACGAUACGGGACUCAUCCGAGGCCCCGUAAUCGGAAUGAGUACACUCUAAACCCUUUAACGAGGAUCAAUUGGAGGGCAAGUCUGGUGCCAGCAGCCGCGGUAAUUCCAGCUCCAAUAGCGUAUAUUAAAGUUGUUGCGGUUAAAAAGCUCGUAGUCGAAUUUGUGUCUCGCGCCGCCGGUUCAUCGCUCGCGGUGUUUAACUGGCGUGUCCGCGGGACGUCCUGCCGGUGGGCUCAGUCCCUUCGGGGGCGGCCCAACUUCAAAUCCCACCGCGGUGCUCUUUACCGAGUGUCGAGGUGGGCCGGCACGUUUACUUUGAACAAAUUAGAGUGCUUAAAGCAGGCUAAAACUUCGCCUGAAUACUGUGUGCAUGGAAUAAUGGAAUAGGACCUCGGUUCUAUUUUGUUGGUUUUCGGAACUCCGAGGUAAUGAUUAAUAGGAACGGAUGGGGGCAUUCGUAUUGCGACGUUAGAGGUGAAAUUCUUGGAUCGUCGCAAGACGGACAGAAGCGAAAGCAUUUGCCAAAAACGCUUUCAUUGAUCAAGAACGAAAGUUAGAGGUUCGAAGGCGAUCAGAUACCGCCCUAGUUCUAACCAUAAACGAUGCCAGCUAGCGAUCCGCCGACGUUCCUCCGAUGACUCGGCGGGCAGCUUCCGGGAAACCAAAGCUUUUGGGUUCCGGGGGAAGUAUGGUUGCAAAGCUGAAACUUAAAGGAAUUGACGGAAGGGCACCACCAGGAGUGGAGCCUGCGGCUUAAUUUGACUCAACACGGGAAACCUCACCAGGCCCGGACACCGGAAGGAUUGACAGAUUGACAGCUCUUUCUUGAUUCGGUGGGUGGUGGUGCAUGGCCGUUCUUAGUUGGUGGAGCGAUUUGUCUGGUUAAUUCCGAUAACGAACAAGACUC
rnacentral:rRNA from 1 species